GACGGUGUCAGCGUGACUUCGGUGUUGUGGUGGUGCGUUGACGGUGUUGUUGCGGCGUGACCAGUGUUUCCACUGUCGCAGGGUGAGGCCAGUGUAGUGGUCGUCUCUUUCUUCACAGACUUCCCUCACUUUCUUCACGCACUUUCAUCACUGGUGGUGGCCCUUGACAGUGCGUGUUGGUGCUGGUUCGUCGUGGGUUGAUUGCUGCAUUGAGGGGUUGGGGUGUGGAGGUUGAGGAACUUCGUUG
rnacentral:lncRNA from 1 species